GGCUCAAGCCUGGCCCAGGAGGGUGAGAGCCGAAGGGUGGCGGUGCGCCCGGAAGCUGGAUGACGGCGCCGUUGCCGUCCUUUGGCUUCUGCUGAUCCGCAUCGGUCCACUCAGGCUAACCCAGGAGUGGGUGGAAGGCAGAUCGGGACGUACGGGUGUAACCAAUGUGGGGUCUUCCAGAUGUUGUUGAACUCCAACUCCCAUCAGCCCCAGCCACAACUGUCAACUAUCAGACAUUAGGGGAGUCUGACACACUGCAAAGUGCUGGCACAACUCAAGCUUUGGGAAAGAGCAGCAAUGGAGCUACCAUGCAAGCGAGUGGGUCCCCGACGUCCGCAACUGUCCUUCAGGAAUCCAGAUUUUGAAUGCUACACCUAUGCGCAG